ACGUCGGUAGCUCAGUGGCAGAACAGUGGGACGGUUCUCCACGUACCCCGGGUUCGAUUCCCGGUCGACGCU